UAGGGAAUCUUCGGCAAUGGGGGCAACCCUGACCGAGCAACGCCGCGUGAGUGAAGAAGGUUUUCGUAUCGUAAAGCUCUGUUGUAAGAGAAGAACGUGUGUGAGAGUGGAAAGUUCACACAGUGACGGUAACUUACCAGAAAGGGACGGCUAACUACGUGCCAGCAGCCGCGGUAAUACGUAGGUCCCGAGCGUUGUCCGGAUUUAUUGGGCGUAAAGCGAGCGCAGGCGGUUUAAUAAGUCUGAAGUUAAAGGCAGUGGCUUAACCAUUGUUCGCUUUGGAAACUGUUAAACUUGAGUGCAGAAGGGGAGGGUGGAAUUCCAUGUGUAGCGGUGAAAUGCGUAGAUAUAUGGAGGAACACCGGUGGCGAAAGCGGCUCUCUGGUCUGUAACUGACGCUGAGGCUCGAAAGCGUGGGGAGCAAACAGG
rnacentral:rRNA from 1 species